UAAAUGUGGCUAUGACUGUAAUCGUAUAAAGACUAGAGUAGGGACAAGAAGACAACAAGGAACACGGGACAAUGAUUGAGAUCACAGAUCACCUACCUCCUAAGAGAGUUAAGUGAUCUGUGAUUGAGAUUGAAGAAGAAGAAAGAGUAGGGUUAUGGGUUAUGUUUACAAAAUUGCUGUUUCCAAGUUUUUGAAAUUUUAAUUUGAAAUAACAAUGAAAAUUUCUAUAGAAUUUGGUGGAGGUGCGGAACUGUUAUUUGGAAAUAAAAAAAGUCAUGAUGUAGAUUUACCAGAAAAAGAAAA
rnacentral:lncRNA from 1 species